rnacentral:lncRNA from 1 species
GGUUUACUCAUUUGUAAAUUGAAGCUACAACACAAAAUGGCCAUUUUUUCUCACCUACAAUUUUCAUUUCUUCAGCUAUCUAAGAUCUCUUCACUCUUCAAUAUGACCUAUCAAUUUACCAUUAUCUAGAAAUUGAAUGACCUAUUUCUUUCUUUCAUAUAUAACUCCUUUAUUUAUUAUUUUCCCAACCAAAUAGCCACAGGGUCAAAAAGGGAAGGAAGCAUAAUGCCAUAUCAUGGAUGUAAAAUGUUGGCAGUGACUUCUGUCCUUAUCUCAGACUGUUGGUCCUUUCAGUGGUGAUGGUGAAGCUAUUUUCUUACAGCGUCUGUUUUUCACUGGAGCCCAAGGUUUGGGGGGAGGCUUCAUGUAAUACUAUUGUGUCCCUAAACCCCAGGGGACCGCAUUAACAUUGUUUUCUAGGUGAACAGUGCCCUAUGGAACUCCAGGAACUUCAAAACAUUUUUAUCCAGGCUUUUGCUACAUUUUGAUGAAUAACCCUUAAUGUUGUGCAACAUGGCACCCUAGUCCCAAGUGAAAAUCCACCUGCCCAAAGUUUCCAAAAGUCCUUAAUUUCCAUUGAGUAAUACUUGCAGUGUUAGAGCAAUUGCUUCCACCCUGGACUACAGUAGUGGAAUAUGUAGACUACGGUGAAGAUGUCAGCGAGACGACACAGGAAUUCCUGUGAUUCACUUCCUGUCUUCCCUAACGCAGCAAAAGAUGAUCAAGAAGAGCAUGAAAAAAAUCCCCUGAAUCCAUUGGCUUUCUUUCCUAUACUGACAACAGUUUACAUGUGUGAGGUAAU